rnacentral:rRNA from 1 species
UGGGGAAUAUUGCGCAAUGGGCGAAAGCCUGACGCAGCGACGCCGCGUGAGGGAUGAAGGUUUUCGGAUCGUAAACCUCUGUCAGAAGGGAAGAAACCGCACUGUGCUAAUCAGCAGUGCCUUGACGGUACCUUCAAAGGAAGCACCGGCUAACUCCGUGCCAGCAGCCGCGGUAAUACGGAGGGUGCAAGCGUUAAUCGGAAUUACUGGGCGUAAAGCGCACGUAGGCUGCUUUGUAAGUCAGGGGUGAAAUCCCACGGCUCAACCGUGGAACUGCCUUUGAUACUGCUUAGCUUGAAUCCGGGAGAGGGUGGCGGAAUUCCAGGUGUAGGAGUGAAAUCCGUAGAUAUCUGGAGGAACAUCAGUGUCGAAGGCGGCCACCUGGACCGGUAUUGACGCUGAGGUGCGAAAGCGUGGGGAGCAAACAGG